rnacentral:rRNA from 1 species
CACGUAGGGCGCAAGCGUUGUCCGGAAUUAUUGGGCGUAAAGAGCUCGUAGGUGGUUUGCUGCGUCCGCUGUGAAAACCCAAGGCUUAACCUUGGGCUUGCAGUGGAUACGGGCAGACUAGAGGUAGGUAGGGGAGAAUGGAAUUCCCGGUGUAGCGGUGAAAUGCGCAGAUAUCAGGAGGAACACCAGUGGCGAAGGCGGUGGUCUGGGCCGGAACUGACGCUGUAGAGCGAAAGCGUGGGGAGCGAACAGG